rnacentral:rRNA from 1 species
GCAUAUCAAUAAGCGGAGGAAAAGGAACCAACCGGGAUUGCCUUAGUAACGGCGAGUGAAGCGGCAAAAGCUCAAAUUUGAAAUCUGGUACCUUCGGUGCCCGAGUUGUAAUUUGGAGAGGGCAACUUUGGGGCCGUUCCUUGUCUAUGUUCCUUGGAACAGGACGUCAUAGAGGGUGAGAAUCCCGUGUGGCGAGGAGUGCGGUUCUUUGUAAAGUGCCUUCGAAGAGUCGAGUUGUUUGGGAAUGCAGCUCUAAGUGGGUGGUAAAUUCCAUCUAAAGCUAAAUAUUGGCGAGAGACCGAUAGCGAACAAGUACAGUGAUGGAAAGAUGAAAAGAACUUUGAAAAGAGAGUGAAAAAGUACGUGAAAUUGUUGAAAGGGAAGGGCAUUUGAUCAGACAUGGUGUUUUGUGCCCUCUGCUCCUUGUGGGUAGGGGAAUCUCGCAUUUCACUGGGCCAGCAUCAGUUUUGGUGGCAGGAUAAAUCCAUAGGAAUGUAGCUUGCCUCGGUAAGUAUUAUAGCCUGUGGGAAUACUGCCAGCUGGGACUGAGGACUGCGACGUAAGUCAAGGAUGCUGGCAUAAUGGUUAUAUGCCGCCCGUCUUGAAACACGGACC